GUUGUAGCUCAGUGGUAAAGUGCUUGCCUAGAAUGUGCAAGUCCCUGGGUUUGAUCCUCAGCAUAACA
rnacentral:tRNA from 1 species